UCCAGACUCCUACGGGAGGCAGCAGUGGGGGAUAUUGCACAAUGGGGGGAACCCUGAUGCAGCGACGCCGCGUGGGUGAAGGAGCGUUUCGGCGCCUAAAGCCCUAUCGGCAGGGAAGAAGGAGGACGGUACCUGACUAAGAAGCCCCGGCUAACUACGUGCCAGCAGCCGCGGUAAUACGUAGGGGGCAAGCGUUAUCCGGAUUUACUGGGUGUAAAGGGGGCGCAGACGGCAGCGCAAGCCAGGAGUGAAAGCCCGGGGCCCAACCCCGGGACUGCUCUUGGAACUGCGCGGCUGGAGUGCAGGAGGGGCAGGCGGAAUUCCUGGUGUAGCGGUGAAAUGCGUAGAUAUCAGGAGGAACACCGGUGGCGAAGGCGGCCUGCUGGACUGCGACUGACGUUGAGGCCCGAAAGCGUGGGGAGCAAACAGGAUUAGAUACCCGAGUAA
rnacentral:rRNA from 1 species